rnacentral:rRNA from 1 species
GUGGGGAAUAUUGGACAAUGGGCGAAAGCCUGAUCCAGCCAUGCCGCGUGUGUGAAGAAGGUCUUCGGAUUGUAAAGCACUUUAAGUUGGGAGGAAGGGCAGUAAGUUAAUACCUUGCUGUUUUGACGUUACCGACAGAAUAAGCACCGGCUAACUUCGUGCCAGCAGCCGCGGUAAUACGAAGGGUGCAAGCGUUAAUCGGAAUUACUGGGCGUAAAGCGCGCGUAGGUGGUUCAGCAAGUUGGAGGUGAAAUCCCCGGGCUCAACCUGGGAACUGCCUCCAAAACUACUGAGCUAGAGUACGGUAGAGGGUAGUGGAAUUGCCUGUGUAGCGGUGAAAUGCGUAGAUAUAGGAAGGAACACCAGUGGCGAAGGCGACUACCUGGACUGAUACUGACACUGAGGUGCGAAAGCGUGGGGAGCAAACAGGAUUAGAAACCCCUGUAGUCC